rnacentral:rRNA from 1 species
AGAUAAGAUAUCCCACUGAGUCAAUCAGGUAAGACCCCUUGAAGACUACAAGGUUGAUAGGCACACAGUGUAAGCGGAGUGAUCCGUUCAGCUAGCGUGUACUAAUAGGUCGAGGGCUUGACCC